GAAGCCAACCAGAUGAUCGCGGGGGCAUGGACCGAAAGGUCGCUUCUGAGGAAAGUCCGAGCUCCAUAGGGCAAGGUGCUGGGUAACGCCCAGUGGGGGAAACCCUAAGGAAAGUGCAACAGAGAUAUACCGCCUAGCAGAUGCCAGUUAUCAGAGGCCAGAGGUCAGAACUGGUAGGUUCUAAUUCCGGCUUCCGGCUUCUGAUAACUGGCGUCUGAGUAGGUAAGGGUGGAAAGGCGAGGUAAGAGCUCACCGGCAGUCAGGUGACUGGCUGGCCAUGUAAACCCCACCUGGAGCAAGACUGAAUAGGGGAACUAUGAACGGCCCGUUUUUGUUCCCGGGUAAGGUCGCUAGAGGCUGUCGGUAACGGCAGUUCGAGAUAGAUGAUCAUCACCUCCAUGCGGAGGGACAGAACUCGGCUUAUAGGUUGACUUCGCCU
rnacentral:RNase_P_RNA from 2 species